CACAGUGUAGCUUAACCUAAAGCCUCUGGCUUACACCCAGAAGAUUCCACUAACUGGACACUUUGA
rnacentral:tRNA from 1 species